rnacentral:rRNA from 1 species
UACGUAGGGUGCAAGCGUUGUCCGGAAUUAUUGGGCGUAAAGAGCUCGUAGGCGGUCUGUCGCGUCCGCUGUGAAAAUCCAGGGCUCAACCCUGGACCUGCAGUGGGUACGGGCAGACUAGAGUGCGGUAGGGGAGAUCGGAAUUCCUGGUGUAGCGGUGAAAUGCGCAGAUAUCAGGAGGAACACCGGUGGCGAAGGCGGAUCUCUGGGCCGUAACUGACGCUGAGACACGAAGGCCAGGGGAGCAAACGGGAU